GGGGAAUUUUCCGCAAUGGGCGAAAGCCUGACGGAGCAACGCCGCGUGAGGGAUGAAGGCCUCUGGGCUGUAAACCUCUUUUAUCAAGGAAGAAGAUCUGACGGUACUUGAUGAAUAAGCCACGGCUAAUUCCGUGCCAGCAGCCGCGGUAAUACGGGAGUGGCAAGCGUUAUCCGGAAUUAUUGGGCGUAAAGCGUCCGCAGGCGGUUUUACAAGUCUGUCGUUAAAGCGUGGAGCUUAACUCCAUUUCAGCGAUGGAAACUGUAAGACUAGAGUGUGGUAGGGGCAGAGGGAAUUCCCGGUGUAGCGGUGAAAUGCGUAGAUAUCGGGAAGAACACCAGUGGCGAAGGCGCUCUGCUGGGCCAUAACUGACGCUCAUGGACGAAAGCCAGGGGAGCGAAAGGGAUUAGAUACCCCUGUAGUCCUGGCCGUAAACGAUGAACACUAGGUGUCGGGGGAAUCGACCCCCUCGGUGUCGUAGCCAACGCGUUAAGUGUUCCGCCUGGGGAGUACGCACGCAAGUGUGAAACUCAAAGGAAUUGACGGGGGCCCGCACAAGCGGUGGAGUAUGUGGUUUAAUUCGAUGCAACGCGAAGAACCUUACCAGGGUUUGACAUCCUGCGAAUCCCUUGGAAACUAGGGAGUGCCUUCGGGAACGCAGUGACAGGUGGUGCAUGGCUGUCGUCAGCUCGUGUCGUGAGAUGUUGGGUUAAGUCCCGCAACGAGCGCAACCCACGUCUUUAGUUGCCAGCAUUUAGUUGGGCACUCUAGAGAGACUGCCGGUGAUAAACCGGAGGAAGGUGUGGAUGACGUCAAGUCAUCAUGCCCCUUACAUCCUGGGCUACACACGUACUACAAUGCUACGGACAAAGGGCAGCAAACUCGCGAGAGCUAGCAAAUCCCAUAAACCGUGGCUCAGUUCAGAUCGUAGGCUGCAACUCGCCUACGUGAAGGAGGAAUCGCUAGUAAUCGCAGGUCAGCAUACUGCGGUGAAUACGUUCCCGGGCCUUGUACACACCGCCCGUCACACCAUGGAAGUUGGCCACGCCCGAAGUCGUUACUCCAACCCUUGUGGAGGAGGAUGCCGAAGGUGGGGCUGAUGACUGGGGUGAAGUCGUAACAAGGUAACC
rnacentral:rRNA from 1 species